UACGUAGGGUGCGAGCGUUAAUCGGAAUUACUGGGCGUAAAGGGUGCGCAGGCGGUUCUGCAAGUCAGGCGUGAAAUCCCCGGGCUUAACCUGGGAAUGGCGCUUGAAACUACGGGACUGGAGUAUGGCAGAGGGAGGUGGAAUUCCAGGUGUAGCGGUGAAAUGCGUAGAUAUCUGGAGGAACACCCGUGGCGAAGGCGGCUCUCUGGGACGGUACUGACGCUGAGACGCGAAAGCGUGGGGAGCAAACAGG
rnacentral:rRNA from 1 species